AAUAAGACGCCCUUCAGUUUUUAGGGUCUCACCAGACUGAUUCUUUCUCCAUAAUGGAAGAGACCAGGCUUUUAGCUGUAGACAAACUUAGGCACACUGGGUCUCUUGACUCUUACCUGAAGAGAAUGUAGAGGCUAGACAUUCACCUAUCCAGAGGCAUCUUCAGAAUCCAGUCAUGGAAUGAAUAAGAACCAGACAGCAGAACCCGAAGGAUGGAGAAAUGACAGUGUCACUCAAAUGGUUUUUAUCAAAUGAAACACUGACAGUAUCUAGAGGAAAAGAGGUUUGCAAGUACAAUUGUCACAACAAUUUCAACCCGGGUGACUUUUACUUGACUGCAGCCAUCUACAGAUUCCCUUAUGUUUUAUUUGGGGGGAAAAAAAAUCUUUUUGACAUGGUUGACAUAUUAUGGAUAUUAUGUCCUCUGGGUUUCCUCCACAUGCUCAAAAAUCAAGAACUGUCCUCAGCAUGAAACUUUAAUGCUUGGCUCAGUUAUUCAUGACCUUACUAGUCUGUCCUGAUUAGGUGGAAGAUUAAUUGCCCUUUGAUUCUUUUUUGGAGACAUCUCUGAAUGUGUAAUAAACACACUAAUAUCAAUGAGUGGCUCACCAUGCAGAAUACUUAUGUUACAUUUAGAUAAAAAUGUCAACCCUAUCAUUUUAGCUAUUUAGUUACUUAGCUUUGUGAAUGAAAAUACUGUAUUUAUAAAACAUAUAUUUACAAAAUAUUGGAUUUGAUUCAAAGAGAUGAACCAAAUGUUCCUCAGAUACAUCCAUUCUCCCAAUCCACAUUCUCUUAUAAAUCAUGAAUGGCCAUUUCACCCCUGGAAAUCAAAACUCUUUUUAACACAUCUCUAAGUUAGUAAGGAUAUGUAUGUAUGUAUAUGACCACAAGCGUGGUGUAGUGGUAAAGUGGUGGGCAAGGAGUGAAAAGAUCCAGUUCUUCCUUAGGCAUGGAAGCCAGAUGGGUGACUUUGGACCAGUCAUUCUCUCUCAGCCCUAGAGUGGGAAGUUGAAAAAUAUCUACCAACUCAUACUGGACCAGCUUGGUAGAUUUUGGUCCAUUACUUUCAAUGAAGAGAACUUCUUCUGCAUUGAACUGAUUUGGAAUAAUAAGAGCAAGAAUAACAACAACAGCUCAUAGUGAAGUGGACAUGGAAUGCUGAAAGUCAGCAAACAAUUGAAAAAAAAAGAAAAAGAAAGAAAGAAAG